rnacentral:other from 1 species
UAUGAUGAAAAAGAAUUAUUUUUGUUCGGUAUAAGUUAAUUAAUGACUUUUCGUCUAUAUAAAUACUUUGAGCAGGGAUAGUAAUACAUUGUGCGGCAGCACUAGGAGGCAACAAAAAUGGAACAAGGUACAGUUAAAUGGUUUAAUGCAGAAAAAGGUUUCGGCUUCAUCGAACGCGAAGGUGGAGACGAUGUAUUCGUACACUUCUCUGCUAUUCAAAGCGAAGGAUUCAAAUCUUUAGACGAAGGUCAAAAAGUAACAUUUGACGUUGAGCAAGGUGCUCGCGGACCUCAAGCAGCUAACGUUCAAAAAGCUUAAUCUUCGCAUAAUACAGACAGGCCCUAUAUAAAUAGGGCCUGUUUUU